AUGGCUCAGUUCCCCGCGGUUGCGGUGGUACUGCUGCUAGGCUGCUGCGUUCGUGCGUGGGACUUGGAUAACUGUUGCUCCUGUCACGUGGUCCAAUGCGUUCCGGUCGGCAGCCUCGUCUUCGUGCCGUGCCCGAGUCCAUCGCUCCCGGACCCCGACAACGCCGAGGUGAGCUUCCGGCUCGACCAUUCAGAAGAGAUGGCGUCCUACGACUUCGACGGAUCGAAGCUUGACGCCGGGCUGGAGGAAAACGUGACAAUGGCAAAGAGACGGACGGGGAUCAGUGUCAAGAUGCACUUGAACACGACGGCGUCGGACGGGUGGGCGCGGUUCGCGCUCAUCGGGGUCGCCGCGGAGGACAGCGGCCUUUAUCGGUGCAGCGCCAAGGUCAUCUACCCCGCCCCCGUGUUGACCCUCUGCAACGCGUCCACAGUGGACCUCCGCCUGGAAGGGCACCAGUGCGAGGCCCCUGUGGUCUGUGGCCCCCCGGUCUCCGGGCCCCCUGAGUGUCUCUCGACCUGGAUCUGGAUCGGGGCGAUGGCCGCCCUGGGUGUGUAUGCCCUGCUCGUCACCGUCGUGGCCUCGGUCAAAAUUGUCCGGGUAAACAAAGACGAAUUGAACCAGAGUGAGUACAUGAACACCAAACGUGUGGCGUGCUGAGAAGAGGAUCACAAGGUCUUGAGCGGCUGUUGCAGCAGCCCUCCUGAUUGGUUCAUGCCUAGCCAAUCAGAGUCUUACCUAGCUUGUCUGACCAAUCAAACAAUAGACUUGGAGGAAUACAAAUUUUGAGGACUCAUUUGAACAAAGAUUCUUUCCUCCCCAAAAGUUGUGCUUUCCGCAGGGCCUGGACAAGCUUACACUGCAUAUACAGACCUACUUUAUGGUCAUUCCACCAGCCAUUGCUAUUUUACCCAUUGUUGUUAUUCUGAUAUUGAGACAAAUCCUGAUCACUGUCCUAUAGUCACCAUCUUUUGUGAGUCUCAAUGUCUACUUCAAAUGCCUUCAGAAAUAUGGGACCGUUUGCUUCAUUUUAUUUAUAUGCUACAGGCCGAAAGACUAAAUUAACAUGUAACUUACUUGCUCCUUUUAAGUAUAACAUUGCUUGGGGAGUCCAAUUCCUCCACUGAAAAGGGUGGAAACUAAAGCUGUGUUCGAAAUCGUUCCCUAUCACGGAUAUAGUGCACUAUAUAGGGUGCUUGCCAUUUUGUAGUGGUGUUCGAAUUCUCAGUGGUUAAUUUCAUGCACUAUUUAGUAGGGGUGGGAAAAAUAAUCGAUGCUUCGAUGCAUCGCGAUUCUCGCUAGAACGAUUCUGUCUCGAUGCAGAUAAAUUAAUAAUCCCCGGGGGGGGGGGGGGCGGGAGUAAACAUUUCAAAACACAAUGUAUCAGAAAGUGGGGGAAGCGAAUGUAUGAGAUGGUUGCUAUUGGUAGCUAUCAGCGUGUUGGCCCGCUACAGCUUCAUCUCAAUACCUUCACUUAAAUUAAAACCCUUGACACUUGGCUACCUGAUGCUUUCGUAGACAAUGACGUCAUUUGGAAGUACGGCUGAAGUUUGACCGUUGCAAUUACAUAAAAUAUCCACGUAGGGGCAGUAAAACACUGAAUAAAAGGGUGUUACUAGGUAAUGGUCGUAGUUAAGUCAACUGAUAACUUGUUUAGGGCGUCGCGUCGAGUUAAUUGUGUGUGUGCGUGCGUGUGUGUGUGUGUGUUUGAUUUUAUUGUCUAUUUGUUUUUUGUAUGUUUAAAAAUAAAAUCAAUCAACAAUGUCUUUGUGUGUGAGUGAUUAAGAUACAUCUUUGCAAUGUCUAACUUUGUAUACGUAUUUGUGUAUUUAGCUACAAUGUUUCACAGUUUGGAGAUUAAGCGUUUGUAUAAUAGCACAUUUAGCCUUUGGCGUGUGUACCUGUCCGUCAACAUUCACAGUAAUAGUCCGUUACUGUGUUCAUUAACAACCUUGAAUGGAAGUUUAAACUAAUUAAAUUAAAAAUUGGCUUUCAGAAACUGUUAUACAAAUACACUUUCAAAGCGAAACCAAAGAAAAACCAAAGAAUACUGAUUUUAUUUUAUUUGCCUUUGCCAAUUCUAUGAUGGCUCAUAUUUCUUCAACAAAUGUAGGCCUACAGGUUAAAGGGACAAUAAUAAUUGAAUGAUAAUAAUAAAUUUGAAUCGGGGUCUUUCCUAAUGAAAGUGGCUGAUAAAGUCGACAGUAGGCUUGCAUACACAUCAUGUGCCAUGUUGACACACUAUUGACCGACCGUUAACUAACUGCGGUCGUUUCCUCGCCUUAAACCUUCCACGUGCCACACCCAUGAUACCGUGCAUUGACGAAUCCUUCCGGCCGUGUGCGCGUGUCCACCUCGAGGGAUGCUGCUGCUUGGACCAGACUCCCUCCAUCCCAUCCGAAACCUGCGAUCAUUCAGGGCUAACACACACUAGGCCUAGGUGACUAAUUCAUGUCAUACAUUAUGAGUGGGUCUGCUAUUGAGUGGUGAGCAAAAAAUAAUUAAAAACAGUUUGCACUGUAAAUCAUCCAUCUGUGCCCAGGCGUGUUAUGCAUUGAGGCCCAACCCUUUCUCUGUGUGAGUUACCCGCCCAGCAGUGUGUGUGUGUGUGUGUGUGUGUGUGUGUGUGUGGGUGUGUGUGUGUGUGUGUGUGUGUGUGUGUGUGUGUGUGUGUGUGUGUGUGUGUGUGUGUGUGUGUGUGCGCGUGUGUGUGUGUGUGUGUGCAGCUCUCUGGUCUGGGGAGCGAGAUGCGCACGCACCCACGAUCGGCAGCGCGAGAGAAAGAGAGAGCGAGCGAGAGCGAGAGAGGGAGUUGUGCACCAAGGCCGUCCUGCCACCUCAACAUGGAGUAGACCAUAGACCCUAGCACCGUUUUUCGCGACCAAAAAGGAAAGGAAUACCCGCCACGGCUCCGAGGUUGUGUGUCCACUCUUAAUGCCCGGCCCCGCGGUACGGUAGCAGCGAAGUCUUGCUCGGAUCGCGAAGGAGG
ensembl:lncRNA